rnacentral:rRNA from 1 species
UACAGAGGUCCCGAGCGUUGUUCGGAUUCAUUGGGCGUAAAGGGUGCGUAGGCGGCGCGGUAAGUCGGGUGUGAAAUCUCGGAGCUUAACUCCGAAACUGCAUUCGAUACUGCCGUGCUUGAGGACUGGAGAGGAGACUGGAAUUUACGGUGUAGCGGUGAAAUGCGUAGAUAUCAGGAGGAACACCAAUGGCGAAGGCAGCACUCUGGGACGUGACUGACGCUGAGACGCGAAAGCGUGGGGAGCAAACAGG